UCAGGACGAACGCUGGCGGCGUGCCUAACACAUGCAAGUCGAGCGAGGAGAUCCUUCGGGAUGAUCCUAGCGGCGGACGGGUGAGUAACACGUGGGCAACCUGCCUCAUAGAGAGGAAUAGCUUCCGAAAGGGAGAUUAAUACCUCAUAACAUUGCAGUUUCGCAUGGAACAGCAAUUAAAGGAGUAAUCCGCUAUGAGAUGGGCCCGCGGCGCAUUAGCUAGUUGGUGAGGUAACGGCUCACCAAGGCGACGAUGCGUAGCCGACCUGAGAGGGUGAUCGGCCACAUUGGGACUGAGACACGGCCCAGACUCCUACGGGAGGCAGCAGUGGGGAAUAUUGCACAAUGGGGGAAACCCUGAUGCCAGCAACGCCGCGUGAGUGAUGACGGCCUUCGGGUUGUAAAGCUCUGUCUUCAGGGACGAUAAUGACGGUACCUGAGGAGGAAGCCACGGCUAACUACGUGCCAGCCGCGGC
rnacentral:rRNA from 1 species